ACUCAAAGGAAUUGACGGGGACCCGCACAAGCGGUGGAGUAUGUGGUUUAAUUCGAAGCUACGCGAAGAACCUUACCAGCUCUUGACAUGUUGAUCGUAGUCUAGGGAGACCUAGACGUCAUUUAGUUGGAUCAAACACAGGUGUUGCAUGGCUGUCGUCAGUUCGUGUCGUGAGAUGUUGGGUUAAGUCCCGCAACGAACGCAACCCUUGCCGUCAGUUGCCAGCAUUCAGUUGGGCACUUUGGCGGAACUGCCGGUGAUAAGCCGGAGGAAGGUGGGGACGACGUCAAGUCAUCAUGGCCCUUAUGGGCUGGGCUACACACGUACUACAAUGGUGAUGACAAAGCGCAGAGCAAGUGUGCGAACACAAGCCAAUCGCUAAAAUUCACCUCAGUUCGGAUUGUUCUCUGCAACUCGAGAGCAUGAAGUUGGAAUCGCUAGUAAUCGUAGAUCAGCACGCUACGGUGAAUACGUUCCCGGGUCUUGUACACACCGCCCGU
rnacentral:rRNA from 1 species